UACGUAGGGGGCAAGCGUUAUCCAGAUUCACUGGGCGUAAAGGGAGCGCAGGCGGCACGGCAAGUCUGGUGUGAAAACCCGGGGCUCAACCCCGGGACUGCAUUGGAAACUGCCGGGCUGGAGUGUCGGAGGGGUAAGCGGAAUUCCUAGUGUAGCGGUGAAAUGCGUAGAUAUUAGGAGGAACACCAGUGGCGAAGGCGGCUUACUGGACGAUGACUGACGCUGAGGCUCGAAAGCGUGGGGAGCAAACAGG
rnacentral:rRNA from 1 species